rnacentral:lncRNA from 1 species
GACAGUGAAAAUGUUAAAUCUUUUAAUCAACAAUUAAAAAUAAUGCAGAGGCUUAUUGAUGCAGCACUUCCAAUGAUCACACAGAUCAUCAUUUUACAAAGCUUUUUUAUUAAAUCAAAGCAUGUGUAAAUCUUAAAGGAUCAAGACAAAUAUGUGUGGGACUAUAAAAGCCAACGUUGAGAUUUUUGGGACUAAUAUAUAUUUGAUUGGAGGAAAGAAGAUAAAAUACUUGCUUCUUAGAUAACAGUCUUUGAAGGUUUUAGAUCCAGCUAAAAUGAUAAAAUAAGUCUUGAUGAAUAUGUAAAAGAUGAAGAAUAAAAUUUUUAAAUAUUAAAAGGAGAAAAAAGAAAAGAAAGAUGGAAAACUCUUACAUGAUUCCAUCUUGAUUAUUGAUGCCUCCAUGUUCUCAUAUUGGCUAAAUGACUUGGAAGGAGAGGGUGGCUUCUAAUGGCGUCGGUGAUCUUAAUCAUAUACAAGAAAGAGGUAAGGGA